rfam:Triticum aestivum genome assembly, contig: Triticum_aestivum_CS42_TGACv1_scaffold_592740_7BS
UGUGUACUCCCUCCGUUCCAAAAUACUUGACUUCCAUUUGUCCAAAAAUGGAUGUACCUAUAUACUAAAACAUGUCUAGAUACAUCUAUAUUAUGACAAAUAGAAGGCAUGUAUUGUGGAACGGAGGGAGUAGAAU